rnacentral:tRNA from 1 species
UCGUAGCUUAAUCAAAGCAUAACACUGAAGAUGUUAGGAUGGGCCCUGAACAGGCUCCGAAAGCA